UGGGGAAUAUUGGACAAUGGGCGGAAGCCUGAUCCAGCCAUGCCGCGUGUGUGAAGAAGGCCUUUUGGUUGUAAAGCACUUUAAGCGAGGAGGAGGCUACUAGUACUAAUACUACCAGGUACUGGACGUUACUCGCAGAAUAAGCACCGGCUAACUCUGUGCCAGCAGCCGCGGUAAUACAGAGGGUGCGAGCGUUAAUCGGAUUUACUGGGCGUAAAGCGUGCGUAGGCGGCUAAUUGAGUCGGAUGUGAAAUCCCCGAGCUUAACUUGGGAAUUGCAUUCGAUACUGGUUAGCUAGAGUGUGGGAGAGGAUGGUAGGAUUCCAGGUGUAGCGGUGAAAUGCGUAGAGAUCUGGAGGAAUACCGAUGGCGAAGGCAGCCAUCUGGCCUAACACUGACGCUGAGGUACGAAAGCAUGGGGAGCAAACAGG
rnacentral:rRNA from 1 species